UACAGAGGGUGCGAGCGUUAAUCGGAUUUACUGGGCGUAAAGCGUGUGUAGGUGGCUUUUUAAGUCGAUUGUGAAAUCCCCGGGCUCAACCUGGGAAUUGCAGUCGAUACUGAGAAGCUCGAGUUCGGUAGAGGGUGACGGAAUUCCCGGUGUAGCGGUGAAAUGCGCAGAUAUCGGGAGGAACACCAAUGGCGAAGGCAGCUCGCUGGGACGGUACUGACGCUGAGGCGCGAAAGCGUGGGGAGCAAACAGG
rnacentral:rRNA from 1 species